rnacentral:rRNA from 1 species
AGAGUUUGAUCAUGGCUCAGAAUCAACGCUGGCGGCGUGCCUCAGACAUGCAAGUCGAACGCGAAAGUCUCCUUCGGGGGGCGAGUAGAGUGGCGCACGGGUGAGUAACACGUAGGUAAUCUACCUUUGGAUUGGGAAUAACCACCGGAAACGGUGGCUAAUACCGAAUAAUGCAGCGGCACCUAAUGGUGACAGUUGUUAAAGCGGGGGAUCGAAAGACCUCGCGUCUGAAGAGGAGCCUGCGGCAGAUUAGCUAGUUGGUAAGGUAACGGCUUACCAAGGCGAUGAUCUGUAGCCGGCCUGAGAGGGCGGUCGGCCACACUGACACUGACAUACGGGUCAGACUCCUACGGGAGGCAGCAGUCGGGAAUUUUGGGCAAUGGGCGAAAGCCUGACCCAGCAACGCCGCGUGAAGGAUGAAAUCCUUCGGGAUGUAAACUUCGCAAGAACGGGAAGAAUAAGUGAGAGUUAAUAUCUCUUACGAUGACGGUACUGUUUGUAAGCUCCGGCUAACUCCGUGCCAGCAGCCGCGGUAAUAC